CAAUUGGUCGACAGUCUGUUGGGUGGGGUAUUUUAAGUUCCUCCAUUUAUUGCCCAAUGGGAUCUCCUUUUUUUCUGUAAUAUCUCUGGAGUUACAACCCACGACUGUAUUUGUUAGUGACAGAGACAUGGUUCUUGAAUUUGUUCAUUUUCUCUCCUAAGGAUUUCAAUAAUGACCUGCUCAAAGGGUUCCAGGACUCUGCACACUUCCUCCACCACCUCCCAUUCCUCUUGGGUCAGAGCAUCAACAGGUCAUUGACAAUGGCCAGGGUAGAGAUGAUGGCAUCCUUUGACUCAAGAAACCGCUUCAACAUAUAAAAUGUUGAAUUCACCUUGUAGUGCAGUCUUGUUUAGGCCUCAGCUCAGGCAUCGCCAUCUGGCGUUGUGUAGACUUUAGUUUUUCAGCACCUACUGUUCUCCUGUGGAAGUAUUCCACAGGUGCUUUCACUUUGUCCACAGAAGGCUUCAUCACCUUCAGAGCAUCUCUUACAAUCAGCUUGAUUGUGUGAGCAAGACAUAGAUGAUGGGUCCAUUUAAAAAUGUCUAUGGCUUUGGUUAUGUUAGCUGCAUUGUCGGUAACACAACAGACUACUUUUCCAUCUACUUGCCAUUCUUUGGCCACUCUCAACAGUUCCUCUGCCAAGUUCUCUGAGUGGUGUCUGUCACUGAACUCAAAGCAGUCCAGAAGACAGCUAGACUGUGAUUUUGAAAGUGAUUUUGAAAGGGUUUUCCUGUUUGGAAUUGUGUACAUUGGAUUUAGAUUAUUGCUAUAAUUUCCAAAACCUCUGUCCUCCAAAAUCGAAAAUGAUUGGAAAUCGGUGGCAAUCAUUUUAGCCA
rnacentral:lncRNA from 1 species